AUGAACAAAGCUAGUGGAGGUGAUGGAAUUCUAGUUGAGCUGUUUCAAAUCCUGAAAGAUGAUGCUGUGAAAGUGCUGCACUCAAUAUGCCAGCAAAUUUGGAAAACUCAGCAGUGGCCACAGGACUGGAAAAGGUCAGUUUUUAUUCCAAUCCCAAAGAAAGGCGAUGCAAAAGAAUGCUCAAACUACUGCACAAUUGCACUCAUCUCACAUGCUAGUAAAGUAAUGCUCAAAACUCUCCAAGCCAGGCUUCAGCAAUAUGUGAACUGUGAACUUCCAGAUGUUCAAGCUGGUUUUAGAAAAGGCAGAGGAACCGGAGAUCAAAUUGCCAACAUCCGCUGGAUCAUGGAAAAAGCAAGAGAGUUCCAGAAAAACAUCUCUUUCUGCUUUAUUGACUAUGCCAAAGCCUUUGACUGUGUGGAUCACAAUAAACUGUGGAAAAUUCUGAAAGAGAUGGGAGUACCAGACCACCUAACCUGCCUCUUGAGAAAUCUGUAUGCAGGUCAGGAAGCAACAGUUAGAACUGGACAUGGAACAACAGACUGGUUUCAAAUAGGAAAAGGAGUACGUCAAGGCUGUAUAUUGUCACUCUGCUUAUUUAACUUCUAUGCAGAGUACAUCAUGAGAAAUGCUGGACUGGAAGAAACACAAGCUGGAAUCAAGAUUGCUGGGAGAAAUAUCAAUAACCUCAGAUAUGCAGAUGACACCACCCUUAUGGCAGAAAGUGAAGAGGAACUCAAAAGCCUAUUGGUGAAAGUGAAAGAGGAGAGUGAAAAAGUUGGCUUAAAGCUCAACAUUCAGAAAACGAAGAUCAUGGCAUCUGAUCCCAUCACUUCAUGGGAAAUAGAUGGGGAAACAGUAGAAACAGUGUCAGUCUUUAUUUUGGGGGGCUCCAAAAUCACUGCAGAUGGUGAUUGCAGCCAUGAAAUUAAAAGACACUUACUCCUUGGAAGAAAAGUUAUGACCAAUCUAGAUAGUAUAUUCAAAAGUAGAGACAUUACUUUGCCGACUAAGGUCUGUCUAGUCAAGGCUAUGGUUUUUCCUGUGGUCAUGUGUGGAUGUGAGAGUUGGACUGUGAAGAAGGCUGAGUGCUGA
rnacentral:lncRNA from 1 species